AUGGGAAAUCUUAAAAAAUUUUAGAAAAUUUUUGGAAACUAAAAAAGGCCCUAAAUUGCUCCAUUUUGCAGGAGACAACGAGUUACAUAUAAAAAUAAUGGUUUUUGCUAUUUAUCUGUUGAUAGACUUUGUUGUUAUUUAUCUGUCAAAUUCUGGGCCAUUGAUCUGUUCUGAGAUUCGUGCGGCUAGUUGGGUUCCUUGAAGGAUCUGCCUUUAAAACCUGCAAACCUUUUAUCUUUUCAUUUUCCACCGUGUUUUUCUCAAUCCUCUCCAAUUCCGUCUCGCAUGUGCGCCGGCGGGCGCAAAGCCCUCGCCGCCGCUUCUGAAAGGUCCUAAUAUGGCUAGAGAGGGGUGAAUAGCCUAUUUAAAAAUUCUACAAAUUUACUAGAGCAAGGGGUUCGUAAAUAACAAAGCGAAGCUUUUUGCUCUAGCUCUAAAGGGGUGUUUGCAAGCCACCUAUCCAACAAUUCUAGUUGAUAUGAUCACUAGGCACACAAGAGCUAUGUCGCUACUUACACUAGAGAGCUACCUAAAGUUUCUAUACAAUAAUGUAAGCUACUCUAAUUUGCAAGAAAGUAAGAGAGAUGGUUUGAUCUUUAUACCGACGUGUAGAGGGGAUGAACCAAUCAACAAAAUGAAGUGUAAUCACCGGAAGAAAUCCAAUCAACA
rnacentral:lncRNA from 1 species